AUCUCUUGGUUCUGGCAUCGAUGAAGAACGCAGCGAAAUGCGAUAAGUAAUGUGAAUUGCAGAAUUCAGUGAAUCAUCGAAUCUUUGAACGCACAUUGCGCCCCUCGGUAUUCCGGGGGGCAUGCCUGUUCGAGCGUCAU
rnacentral:rRNA from 1 species